CACGUACUGUGCGAACGUUAUUCGGAAUCACUGGGCUUAAAGGGUACGUAGGCGGUUUAUCAAGUCAGAUGUGAAAUGCCACAGCUCAACUGUGGCACUGCGUUUGAAACUGAUAGACUAGAGUAUUCCAGGGGUGUGCGGAACUGCCAGUGGAGCGGUGAAAUGCGUUGAUAUUGGCAGGAACACCGGAGGCGAAGGCGGCACACUGGGGGAUAACUGACGCUGAGGUACGAAAGCCAGGGUAGCGAACGGGAUUAGAUACCCGGGUAGUCC
rnacentral:rRNA from 1 species